rnacentral:snRNA from 1 species
GGACAUGAGGAUGAUCUGACUGUGACAUUUAUCACCCCAUUAUUGAUGGCUACAGUUGAUGUGCUUGGUCUGGUUGGCGAAGUGGGUGUCCCCCUCUCUCCUCCUUGCUCUAAGUGUGUCCCUCCCCAAGCAGCACGCUCUGUCAAGGAGGACAACCUUUCCCAGUAAAGGAAGAUCAGGGCUGUCAAUUGGUCAAGAGCUUACUUGUACCUGCACUCCUGUGCUAAAACCUCCAACAAACUCUCAAGGUAGUAUAUUUAUCUGAUUAAGCAUACAAGUAAAUAAAAUGACUACUGAUGGCAGAAAUUGUUUACAGUACCGAAAUGUAAGCUGAAUUUUUUU